UACGUAGGGUGCGAGCGUUGUCCGGAAUUACUGGGCGUAAAGAGCUCGUAGGUGGUUUGUCGCGUCGGCCGUGAAAUCUCCACGCUUAACGUGGAGCGUGCGGUCGAUACGGGCAGACUUGAGUUCGGUAGGGGAGACUGGAAUUCCUGGUGUAGCGGUGAAAUGCGCAGAUAUCAGGAGGAACACCGGUGGCGAAGGCGGGUCUCUGGGCCGAUACUGACGCUGAGGAGCGAAAGCGUGGGGAGCGAACAGG
rnacentral:rRNA from 1 species